rnacentral:rRNA from 1 species
GUCUACUGCCAAACAACCCUGAAUAUGCUCGAUCUCAUCUAAUGUUGGAAGCUAAGCAAGGUCAGGCCUGGUUAGUACUUGGAUGGGAGAGAGGAGUCAGAGAUGAUCCUCAGGCUGUUACUGGCA